rnacentral:rRNA from 1 species
AGGACGAACGCUGGCGGCGUGCCUAACACAUGCAAGUCGAACGAGGUCCAUCCGGUGGCAACACUGGUGAAGACCGAGUGGCGAACGGGUGAGUAACACGUGAGCAACCUGCCCCAAAGACUGGGAUAACCCCGGGAAACCGGAGCUAAUACCGGAUACCCCCACCGGGUCGCAUGGCCUGGUGAGGAAAUGGAUUCCGCUUUGGGAGGGGCUCGCGACCUAUCAGCUGAUGGCGGACGCGACG